GGCCCAAUGGUCUAGUAGCAUGAUUCCUGCUUCGGGUGCAGGAGGUCCCGGGUUCAAUUCCCGGUUGGGCCC
rnacentral:tRNA from 1 species